CCUACGGGUGACAGCAGUAGGGAAUAUUGCUCAAUGGGGGAAACCCUGAAGCAGCAACGCCGCGUGGAGGAUGAAGGUUUUCGGGUUGUAAACUUCUUUUGUUAGAGAAGAUAAUAACGGUAUCUCACGAAUAAGCACCGGCUAACUCCGUGCCAGCAGCCGCGGUAAUACGGAGGGUGCAAGCGUUACUCGGCAUUACUGGGCGUAAAGAGCGCGUAGGCGGGAUAGCAAGUCAGAUGUGAAAUACUAUGGCUUAACCAUAGAACUGCAUUUGAAACUGUUAUUCUAGAGUAUGGGAGAGGCAGGUGGAAUUCGUGGUGUAGGGGUAAAAUCCGUAGAGAUCAAGAGGAAUACUCAUGGCGAAGGCGACCUGCUAGAAAUUAACUGACGCUGAGGCGCGAAAGCGUGGGGAGCAAACAGGAUUAGAUACCCGUGUAGUC
rnacentral:rRNA from 1 species